rnacentral:tRNA from 1 species
GCCCCGGUAGCUCAGUUGGAAGAGCGCCGCUCUGGUAAGGCGGAGGUCCCGGGUUCAAUCCCCGGCCGGGGCUCCA